CCCCAGACUCCUACGGGAGGCAGCAGUGGGGAAUAUUGCACAAUGGGGGAAACCCUGAUGCAGCAACGCCGCGUGGGUGAAGGAGCGUUUCGGCGCGUAAAGCCCUGUCAGCGGGGAAGAAGAAAGACGGUACCCGACCAAGAAGCCCCGGCUAACUACGUGCCAGCAGCCGCGGUAAUACGUAGGGGGCGAGCGUUGUCCGGAAUCACUGGGCGUAAAGGGCGCGUAGGCGGUAAUAUAAGUCAGAUGUGAAAGGUGGGGGCUCAACCCCUAGAGUGCAACUGAUACUGUAUAACUUGAGUGUGAGAGAGGGAAGCGGAAUUCCUAGUGUAGCGGUGAAAUGCGUAGAUAUUAGGAGGAACACCAGUGGCGAAGGCGGCCUGCUGGACGAUGACUGACGUUGAGGCUCGAAAGCGUGGGGAGCAAACAGGAUUAGAUACCCCAGUA
rnacentral:rRNA from 1 species